AGAGCGCGCACUCGACCUGCGCGGUCCCUCCUCCGCGCUGGAACUGACCCGCAGUCUAGGCGGUUUCAGAUAAGUUAGGAGAAUGGGAGGAGAGACAAUAGCUAUAAAAAUCUGGAGUCUGGAAAGCAGAAAUAUGAUGCACAUGGUAUCUCACAAACAUUUAUCCUAUGGUGAUUGAAGACUUUUGAACACAGGGACAUAUCUGUCUAUGACCAGGAAGUAACCUCUCAUCAGACAGUGCAUCUGUCAGACCCUUGAUCUUGGGACUUCUCAGCCUCCAGAACCGUGAGAAAUAAAUUUCUCUUGUUUAUAAGCUACCCACUCUAUGGUAUUCUUCUAUAGUAUUCUGAACAAAGACAGCACUCCACCCUAGCCAAACACCAUGGAAGAAAACAUGGCCCAUCCCCACCCCUGUCAACAAAGGCCAAGUGGGUGACCUACACUUCCAUCCUUUCUCAAGGUGGCUCCUCCCCCACAAGAAGACCUGGUGGCAGGCUGGCACUUCUAUCCCUACUCAGUAAUAAUAAAGCUCCUCCUCCCCCAAAAGGGUAUUGGUGAAAGCCCUGUGGGAUGCUAGACUUCCAUCCCCCCCAGCAGUAAUGAGGCACACUCCCCCCUCUUCUGGGUGGUGUCAGAAUUGGCCAAGUGGAAAGCCAGAACUUUCACCACCAUUCAGUGGUAACAGUGCAUCCUCCACCUCCUGAACUAUCAUUGCAUUUCCU